AGAGUUUGAUUCUGGCUCAGAACGAACGCUGGCGGCAGGCCUCAAACAUGCAAGUCUAGGGGGCGUAGCAAUACGUCACCGGCGGACGGGUGCGUAACACGUGGGAAUAUACCUUUUGGUUCGGAACAACGCAGGGAAACUUGCGCUAAUACCGAAUGUGUCCUUACGGAGAAAGAUUUAUCGCCAAAGGAUUAGCCCGCGUUCGAUUAGCUAGUUGGUGAGGUAACGGCUCACCAAGGCAACGAUCGAUAGCUGUUCUGAGAGGAAGAUCAGCCACACUGGGACUGAGACACGGCCCAGACUCCUACGGGAGGCAGCAGUUGGGAAUCUUGGACAAUGGGGGAAACCCUGAUCCAGCCAUGCCGCGUGAGUGAUGAAGGCCUUCGGGUUGUAAAGCUCUUUUACCCGGGAAGAUAAUGACUGUACCGGGAGAAUAAGCUCCGGCUAACUUCGUGCCAGCAGCCGCGAUAAUACGAAGGGGGCUAGCGUUGUUCGGAAUUACUGGGCGUAAAGCGCGCGCAGGCGGUUUCUCAAGUCAGUGGUGAAAGCCCGGAGCUCAACUCCGGAACUGCCAUUGAAACUGUGAAACUUGAGGACGAGAGAGGUGAGUGGAAUUCCCAGUGUAGAGGUGAAAUUCGUAGAUAUUGGGAAGAACACCGGUGGCGAAGGCGGCUCACUGGCUCGUUUCUGACGCUCAGGCGCGACAGCGUGGGGAUCGAACAGGAUUAGAUACCCUGGUAGUCCACGCCGUAAACGAUGAACGCUAGCCGUUGGGUAGCUUGCUAUUCAGUGGCGCAGCUUACGCAUUAAGCGUUCCGCCUGGGAGAGUACGGCCGCAGGCUGAAAACUCAAUGAAUUGACGGGG
rnacentral:rRNA from 1 species